rnacentral:rRNA from 1 species
UAGGGAAUCUUUCACAAUGAGCGAAAGCUUGAUGGAGCAAUGCCGCGUGAACGAUGAAGGUCUUUAAGAUUGUAAAGUUCUUUUAUUUGGGAAGAAUGACUUUAGCAGGUAAUGGCUAGAGUUUGACUGUACCAUUUUGAAUAAGUGACGACUAACUAUGUGCCAGCAGUCGCGGUAAUACAUAGGUCGCAAGCGUUAUCCGGAUUUAUUGGGCGUAAAGCAAGCGCAGGCGGAUUGAAAAGUCUGGUGUUAAAGGCAGCUGCUUAACAGUUGUAUGCAUUGGAAACUAUUAAUCUAGAGUGUGGUAGGGAGUUUUGGAAUUUCAUGUGGAGCGGUGAAAUGCGUAGAUAUAUGAAGGAACACCAGUGGCGAAGGCGAAAACUUAGGCCAUUACUGACGCUUAGGCUUGAAAGUGUGGGGAGCAAAUAGGAUUAGAUACCCUAGUAGUCCACACCGUAACGAUAGAUACUAGCUGUCGGGGCGAUCCCCUCGGUAGUGAAGUUAACACAUUAAGUAUCUCGCCUGGGUAGUACAUUCGCAAGAAUG